rnacentral:rRNA from 1 species
CGGCGGCUGGCUCCUUGCGGUUACCUCACCGACUUCGGGUGUUGCAAACUCCCGUGGUGUGACGGGCGGUGUGUACAAGGCCCGGGAACGUAUUCACCGCGGCAUGCUGAUCCGCGAUUACUAGCGAUUCCGACUUCAUGUAGGCGANUUGCAGCCUACAAUCCGAACUGAGAUUGGUUUUAAGANAUUGGCGUCCCCUCGCGAGGUAGCAUCCCGUUGUACCAACCAUUGUAGCACGUGUGUANCCCAGGUCAUAAGGGGCAUGAUGAUUUGACGUCAUCCCCGCCUUCCUCCGUCUUGUCGACGGCAGUCUCUCUAGAGUGCCCAACUGAAUGCUGGCAACUAAAGAUAANGGUUGCGCUCGUUGCGGGACUUAACCCAACAUCUCACGACUCGAGCUGACGACAACCAUGCACCACCUGUCACCGNCUGCCCCGAAGGGAACUCUGUCUCCAAANCGGUCACGGGGAUUUCAAAACUGGUUAAGGUCUUCCCGUUGCUUCAAAUUANACCANAUGCUCCACCGCUUGUGCCGGGCCCNGUCAAUCCUUUGAAUUUCACCCU